rnacentral:rRNA from 1 species
UACGGAAGGCAGCAGUGGGGAAUAUUGCACAAUGGGCGCAAGCCUGAUGCAGCCAUGCCGCGUGUAUGAAGAAGGCCUUCGGGUUGUAAAGUACUUUCAGUCGUGAGGAAGGUGUUAAGGUUAAUAACCUUAGCAAUUGACGUUAGCGACAGAAGAAGCACCGGCUAACUCCGUGCCAGCAGCCGCGGUAAUACGGAGGGUGCGAGCGUUAAUCGGAAUUACUGGGCGUAAAGGGCACGCAGGCGGUUAAUUAAGUUGGAUGUGAAAUCCCCGGGCUUAACCUGGGAAUGGCAUUCAAGACUGGUUAGCUAGAGUCUUGUAGAGGGGGUAGAAUUCCAUGUGUAGCGGUGAAAUGCGUAGAGAUGUGGAGGAAUACCGGUGGGCGAAAGGCGGCCCCCUGGGACAAAGGACUGACGCUCAUGUGCGAAAGCGUGGGGAGCAAACAGGGAUUAGAUACC